UACGGGGGGAGCAAGCGUUGUUCGGAUUUACUGGGCGUAAAGGGCGCGUAGGCGGCCACCGCCAGUCAGUUGUGAAAUCUCUGGGCUUAACCCAGAACGGUCAGCUGAUACUGCGGGGCUAGAGUGCAGAAGGGGCAACUGGAAUUCUCGGUGUAGCGGUGAAAUGCGUAGAUAUCGAGAGGAACACCUGCGGCGAAGGCGGGUUGCUGGGCUGACACUGACGCUGACAGCGCGAAAGCUAGGGGAGCGAACAGG
rnacentral:rRNA from 1 species